GUUUUUGUUCUUCCUUUACAGGUUGGAAUUUAAACUUUCUGCAAGGCAUUCAGAUGAUAAUGGAGAUGGGUCUUUGAAGCAGUUUCUCCUUGCUUCCCUUUUAUGAAGCAUCUGGAAACAGCAAGUCCCAAAAGCCACCAGUAUUAACAGUAAUAGUGGUAUAGUGGGUAUUACGACAUAAAUUAGAUUUGGAAUUAUACCUGUUUCAGUAGCUAUAACAUGAUACUGAUCUUCUGGUUUGUUUGUGUCAUAUGGAUUUCCUGCUGGCACCGUUGGAAAAAUACCGUAAUCUGGCUCUGCUCUGUCUCCUAAUUCUUUUUCUAAGACAUUGUCUGGGCCAUACUUGCAGAUAAAAUUGUGCUUCAUGUUGCAUCUAUCGUCAUUCCACUGAUAAAGAUACGGCCCUCCCAGACCAGGGUUUGCAGUUGGCUGAUGAUACAUAACAACACAGGCUUCACUUCCACAGGAAGGCUCAUCUGUAUACCAAUUUCUGAAGGGUGAAAUACUUCCAUCAGCCCAAUGGUAGAGGUCAGGGCAAGCACUGGAGGUGGCCAGUCCAUCACUACUUCUCCACAACCCAAUCCAGAAAUCACCAUCAGAAAUCCCAGAGCCUGACUUAGUGAGGUUCUGUAACAUGUUUUCUAUUAGUUGCUGCUCAGCUUCACUUUCCAAGCUCAGUAAAGCCCCACCAUCCAUUUCACAAGCUUGGCGGGCCUCCUGAAAGCCCACGCGUCUAGACAAGUCCUGGAAAUAAGCUAUCUUGUAGCAGGAACGCUUGAAGCCACCAUAGCACACCUUUUGACCGCUGAGAACGCGCCCGCCGAGCGCUCCGCUCCCGUACAGCGCGGCGACCGCCAGCACCGCGGCCAGCCCCAGUCCCAGCCCCAUGGCGAAGGCUCCGCGCCCAGAGGCCCCGCUCAGGGCAGGCCAAGCCCCGCGCACAUGCCGGGGAAAAGCAGCCCGCUCGCUCCUCGCUU
rnacentral:lncRNA from 1 species